UACGGAGGGUGCAAGCGUUAUCCGGAAUCAUUGGGUUUAAAGGGUCCGCAGGCGGAGGUAUAAGUCAGUGGUGAAAGCCUAUCGCUUAACGAUAGAACUGCCAUUGAUACUGUACUUCUUGAAUUCGGUCGAAGUGGGCGGAAUGUGUAGUGUAGCGGUGAAAUGCAUAGAUAUUACACAGAACACCGAUAGCGAAGGCAGCUCACUAGGCCUGAAUUGACGCUCAGGGACGAAAGCGUGGGGAUCAAACAGGAUUAGAUACCCUGGUAGUCCACGCUGUAAACGAUGAUUACUCGUUUUCGGCGAUAUACAGUCGGAGACUAAGCGAAAGUGAUAAGUAAUCCACCUGGGGAGUACGAUCGCAAGGUUGAA
rnacentral:rRNA from 1 species